rnacentral:rRNA from 1 species
GACGAACGCUGGCGGCGUGCUUAACACAUGCAAGUCGAGCGGUAAGGCCCUUUGGGGUACACGAGCGGCGAACGGGUGAGUAACACGUGAGUAAUCUGCCUUUGGCUUGGGAAUAACUUCGGGAAAUCGGGGCUAAUGCCUGAUGUUUACUGUCUGCUGCAUGGUGGGUGGUGGAAAGAUUUUUUGGCGAGGAGUGAGCUCGCGGUCUAUCAGCUUGUUGGUGGGGUAAGU